rnacentral:rRNA from 1 species
GAUGAACGCUGGCGGCGUGCCUAAUACAUGCAAGUCGAGCGAACAGACGAGGAGCUUGCUCCUCUGACGUUAGCGGCGGACGGGUGAGUAACACGUGGAUAACCUACCUAUAAGACUGGGAUAACUUCGGGAAACCGGAGCUAAUACCGGAUAAUAUAUUGAACCGCAUGGUUCAAUAGUGAAAGACGGUUUUGCUGUCACUUACAGAUGGAUCCGCGCCGCAUUAGCUAGUUGGUAAGGUAACGGCUUACCAAGGCAACGAUGCGUAGCCGACCUGAGAGGGUGAUCGGCCACACUGGAACUGAGACACGGUCCAGACUCCUACGGGAGGCAGCAGUAGGGAAUCUUCCGCAAUGGGCGAAAGCCCGACGGAGCAACGCCGCGUGAGUGAUGAAGGUCUUCGGAUCGUAAAACUCUGUUAUUAGGGAAGAACAAAUGUGUAAGUAACUAUGCACGUCUUGACGGUACCUAAUCAGAAAGCCACGGCUAACUACGUG